rnacentral:rRNA from 1 species
UACGAGGGGUGCAAGCGUUGCUCGGAAUUAUUGGGCGUAAAGGGUAGGUAGGUGGUCUCAUUUGUCUGGGGUGAAAGCCUUGAGCUUAACUCAAGAAGUGCCCCAGAAACGGUGAGACUCGAGUACUGGAGAGGGUCGUGGAAUUCCCGGUGUAGCGGUGAAAUGCGUAGAGAUCGGGAGGAACACCAGAGGCAAGGCGGCGACCUGGACAGUUACUGACACUCAACUACGAAAGCGUGGGGAGCAAACAGG